UUUAAUAAUAAUUAAAUAACUAUUCAAAAUUCAUUUUUUCAUAAAUGACACUCGCACUCUUUGCUCAAACGAUUAAAACUCACAACAAAAGUCCAUAAAUAUGCAUUGUAAAUUAAACGUCGAACAUGAUGAUAUUCAAAAAUCCUAUAAAUCACAGAAUAUUAAUACUCAUAAAUACACAUUCUUGAAUUUCAUAGUUUUAGGAUGAAUGUAUCACUAGUAGCACAGAUUCAUAUGUCAAAUUAAGGUUAGAACACAAAAAAUCGGCUGUGUAGCUCUAGUUGCACAUUGUUUGUCAUUAUCUAUUAGAAAUUGAAGAUAUUCUAAUAGAUAGAACGAAAUCGUAAUUGUAGAAAAAAUACGUAACUACAAAUACUAGAGUUCGGUAAGAAAGAAUCACACAGUGUAGAUUAUUGCAAACGUUUCACGAUGUACUGCACUCAGUGCUCUACAAGAAGGAGAAGAGACGACAGGUGACUGGUGCCUGCGCCAUGCGCAUUGCUCGCUCGACCUCGGCAACACUCGAGCACGCUCGUCAUUGCUCGGGCGCCUCCGGCGGCGAAUGGUGGGGCGAGCAGUGUAUCCGUGACGUCACAUAAUUAGAGUAAAUACAAAGUAGUCUUGAUGGGACAGCGGCGUGCGCCGCACCGUGAGUCGCUGGUCCGCGCGCGUCAAACCUAUAUCGUUUCGAUACACGCACACCGCGUUUGUGUAGCUCGUGAUAUAUUGCGCUAUGUGCCGUCAGUGUGUGUGUACCAAAGGAUCCUAGAUGACUGUGGGAAUAGUAAGUGACACUCGUGCAGCAAAGAAAUGGAAAAGAUAGAGUUAUUGGGCGGUGCUUGCUUCAGCCACGGCCCGUACACGUUCUACAAAGCGGUUAGAAUAGGAAAUGGUCGUGUACUUCGCCUUGGAAGCUUCUUCCUCACGAAACUGUGGAGCGAUGCCGAUCUUGUCAGCAUCGGGGAACUUCAGCUGUUGUGGAUGGACAGCCGGGGACCGAAUCAACCUCUGGCAUCGUUGCGGUUAUACUUCUUGCCGGAGAACACCCCGGAUGGCCGAAGGGACACGCAUGGAGAGGAAGACGGGGAGCGAGUUUUCCACGUGAUCACUUGGAAACCUGCUUUAUUGGAAUUCUAUUUCUGUUGGCACUACUCUACGCCAAUGUGCCCUCCCGGACUCCAGUUCAGUUGGGGAGGGGGAAACAUAGUAUUUCUAAAGUAUCUCUAAGGCCUCAUUGACCCAUGAAUUGUUCAUCUUUGCAUACUUUGUUCCCGAUUUUCGCCUUUGAAAUUUAAUUAAUGUAAUCGCCUCUAAAUUUAUGCGACUAGUGCGAUGAAUUAUUUUUAUUGUGAACGACAAUGUAUAGUUUCGCGAAACAAUAGUUUUGAAAGUGUUGUAUCACCUGUCAUCAUAUUUAUCGAUCGAGACCAGAAUAAAAUGUGAAAUUGAAAAUGUUACAUUCCUAGAUUUUUGUAUUUAAAUUUAAUUGUUUUUUUUUUUUUUGUUUUUCGAAAUUAUUUUUGUUUCAAGGAAUAAGAUUAAGAGAAAUUUUAAAAUGAUAUUUUAUAAAAUCAUAUUCCACCGUUAUAUUAUUUUUUGAUAAUAUUUUUUUUAAUUUUCAAAUUGUUAUUACGUUAUAUGGUCAGUAAAUUUAAUUUCUCUGGUAACUAAAAUGUAUUCAUUCACAUUCUCGUAAAUUUCAUUUUGAAGCAUUACAAAAUUGAAAUUAAUUAAAAACGGAGAAUACAGUUUUUCAUAUACGCAAAUACCACUAAACUUUUAUCAAGCCAGCGAGCAUAUUUCUAAAGUUAUUUCACAAAA
rnacentral:misc_RNA from 1 species